CAGAGUUUGAUCCUGGCUCAGGACGAACGCUGGCGGCGUGCCUAAUACAUGCAAGUCGAGCGGACAGAUGGGAGCUUGCUCCCUGAUGUUAGCGGCGGACGGGUGAGUAACACGUGGGUAACCUGCCUGUAAGACUGGGAUAACUCCGGGAAACCGGGGCUAAUACCGGAUGGUUGUUUGAACCGCAUGGUUCAAACAUAAAAGGUGGCUUCGGCUACCACUUACAGAUGGACCCGCGGCGCAUUAGCUAGUUGGUGAGGUAAUGGCUCACCAAGGCAACGAUGCGUAGCCGACCUGAGAGGGUGAUCGGCCACACUGGGACUGAGACACGGCCCAGACUCCUACGGGAGGCAGCAGUAGGGAAUCUUCCGCAAUGGACGAAAGUCUGACGGAGCAACGCCGCGUGAGUGAUGAAGGCUUUCGGGUCGUAAAACUCUGUUGUUAGGGAAGAAUAAGUACCGUUCGAAUAGGGCGGUACCUUGACGGUACCUAACCAGAAAGCCACGGCUAACUACGUGCCAGCAGCCGCGGUAAUACGUAGGUGGCAAGCGUUGUCCGGAAUUAUUGGGCGUAAAGGGCUCGCAGGCGGUUUCUUAAGUCUGAUGUGAAAGCCCCCGGCUCAGCCGGGGAGGGUCAUUGGAAACUGGGGAACUUGAGUGCAGAAGAGGAGAGUGGAAUUCCACGUGUAGCGGUGAAAUGCGUAGAGAUGUGGAGGAACACCAGUGGCGAAGGCGACUCUCUGGUCUGUAACUGACGCUGAGGAGCGAAAGCGUGGGGAGCGAACAGGAUUAGAUACCCUGGUAGUCCACGCCGUAAACGAUGAGUGCUAAGUGUUAGGGGGUUUCCGCCCCUUAGUGCUGCAGCUAACGCAUUAAGCACUCCGCCUGGGGAGUACGGUCGCAAGACUGAAACUCAAAGGAAUUGACGGGGGCCCGCACAAG
rnacentral:rRNA from 1 species